GAACAAAGGCUGGAAACAGGUCUCGUCUGCCUGUCUGAACCACUCCAAAGACGCGUCUGUCGUCUGUCAUAAAGAAGUAAAGUUGGCAAAAGGAGGUCAGAAUCACGGUGUAGUGAUGAUUAGGAAAAGACGCUAUUCUUAUACCUACUGGACACCACUCUGUGGCAACGGCUUCUCUGACGUUGAUGCCAAGGUCGUGUGUAUGGAACUUGGCUUUGAGAAGGGCCGUGCCUUGGCACUCGGUGCUUUUGGGACAUAUUACUCCUAUAGUGGAUAUGCUCGAAACGAAAUAAGCUGUAAAGGUUCCGAAAAAUCCAUUUUAAACUGCUCCUAUUCCACCAGUUCAUGUCCAAGACAGUCAAGCUUGGGCUAUGCAUCGGUUUCUUGCCACAAUGGAUCUCUACCCACAGGUCUAACCAUUACCCUGGAUGGAGGUAGUUUAGACAACCAGAACAUAACUGGUCGAGCCGUAGUUUUUAAAAAUGGGAUACGGGGCAGAAUCUGUGCCUCUCUUUGGGACGAUGUAGAUGCCAGUGUAUUUUGUAGGCAGUUAUCGUCAAUAUACAGUGGUGGUGUAUCUUACCAAUAUAUGCGACAAGGAAAGGGACCAAUUUGGUUGUCAAAUGUCCAAUGUACGGGAAACGAAACAUCAAUAUUUCAGUGUUCAAAUA